rnacentral:rRNA from 1 species
GACGAACGCUGGCGGCGUGCUUAACACAUGCAAGUCGAACGGACAGACAGAGAGCUUGCUCUCUUGAAGUUAGUGGCGAACGGGUGAGUAACGCGUAAUCAACCUGCCCUUCAGAGGGGGAUAACAACGGGAAACCGUUGCUAAUACCGCGUACGAUUCACAGUCGGCAUCGCUUGUGAAUGAAAGGUGGCCUCUAUGUAUAAGCUAUCGCUGAAGGAGGGGAUUGCGUCUGAUUAGCUAGUUGGAGGGGUAACGGCCCACCAAGGCAAUGAUCAGUAGCCGGUCUGAGAGGAUGAACGGCCACAUUGGGACUGAGACACGGCCCAAACUCCUACGGGAGGCAGCAGUGGGGAAUCUUCCGCAAUGGACGAAAGUCUGACGGAGCAACGCCGCGUGAGUGAUGAAGUAUUUCGGUAUGUAAACUUCGAAAGAAUAGGAAGAAUAAAUGACGGUACUAUUUAUAAGGUCCGGCUAACUACGUGCCAGCAGCCGCGGUAA